GGGUUUGAUGCGGAUAAUGUUACAUAUCCUUUUGCUAGUCGUGGAGCAACUGAGAACGAUCUUGGAAUUGCUCGAAGAGAUAUGAUGAUGAUAGCUUUAAAAUUGUUUAUAACCGAUAUUAGAGACAAACAUAGGACCAACCCUAUAGAUUUUACACACACAUGUCGAAUCAUAGGAUUGUUCUGGAGUAUGAGAUUUCCAGAUGAAUACACAACAAAUGCUUAUGUUGUAGGCG